rnacentral:rRNA from 1 species
UACGUAGGGGGCGAGCGUUGUCCGGAAUCAUUGGGCGUAAAGAGCGUGUAGGUGGCCCGGUAAGUCCGCCGUGAAAGUCCAGGGCUCAACCCUGGAAAGCCGGUGGAUACUGUCGGGCUGGAGUCCGGAAGAGGCGAGUGGAAUUCCUGGUGUAGCGGUGAAAUGCGCAGAUAUCAGGAGGAACACCAAUGGCGAAGGCAGCUCGCUGGGACGGUACUGACACUGAGACGCGAAAGCGUGGGGAGCGAACAGG